AGUGACUACUCUAAAGCUAAUUUAGAAAAUUACCAAAAUUAAUUACAAUGAUUGACUGAUGUUUUAGUUUAUUGUUCUGUACAGCAUACAAAUAUCGUAUCAAUUCAAAUCCUUCACAUAUGUGAAAGCAUUGGACAAUUUGUUGUGAAAUAUUCCACCUACCAAACGCAAAACAACUGAAUACAAUCAGACAAGCAUUGUUUAUUGGACUAUGAAAACACAUCAGGACCAACAAACCCGCAUAAGACGAUAUACAAAGACUACAACUAUGCAAAGAUAAGUACAUAAAUUCAAAAUAUACUAAGAAAAGCUUUUAACUGAGGAAAAUGGUGAGUGGAACGGUGAAAACUGAGAAACUAUCACAUAGACAUUGGUAUUUUCUGGAAGGUAAAGCAGAAUAUUUGCGAUUUUACCAUAAAUCUGGAUCGUCUUGAAUCGGAACGUGACGGCGGAACUGGGCCUGAAUGUUUUCGGGUAGCGAACUCAUCUCUGCCAUGUUCCGGAACAGACCAGGUGGCAAGAAACCAAUCAAAAGCGGAGCGUGCUGCUCCAAGAUUCUUCUUCUUUCCUCUGCGAUUGCUUCGUCCUCGGCCUGUUGACGCAAUUCUUCCAUGCGGCGUUCUUCCUUCUUCUCAGCGAAUUCCAAUUUCUUCAGCUGACGUCGCUCUUCCAGUAAGGCCGCCUGCUCUUUCUGCAAUUGCGUUAGAUCCUUGUGCCUUCGUUCAGCGACCUCUCGUUCGGCCUUUUCCUCCAUCGCGGCUUGCUCCAGCAUCUAUCAGAAAAAUUCGAAUGGUAUCAAGCCCAUUUUGCUAGUUCAAGUUGGCGCAAUUGUUCAGCCAUAUCUUCAUUCCAUUUGAUUCUUUGGGCUUGAGUCAUCUUCUCUAGUUCUUCAGCUUUUUUAGUUUCCAGCUCUUCCUUCUCUUCACAGCCAUAUUCAAUCCAUAACUCUUCUCGUUCACGGCGCCGGCGCUAUCUUUUUGAAGCCGAUGGCGGAUAGCAGCAAGUUUCUCGGCUUUCUCUUUCCUUUCUUGCUGCUGCAUUUGACUCAAUCGACGUCGUUGGAGUUGGCAUUCUUCAAUUAACCUAUCUUCCUCCAUUUCAAUAAACUUCUGGAUGGCUCUCCAUUGGUUCUGCAA